rnacentral:misc_RNA from 1 species
CGCCAUUCUGCUGCCAUCAUUUCCUGGCACUCCUGGAGGUGGGGGCACGGAACCUGGCGAUUCAGCUUUGGUGCAAGCAGAGAGAUCAGCGUUAACCCCGCAUCGCCGGGUGAGGGCCAGGGCCUGAGUGAUAUUGAUGUUAAAGCUUUGGAGCAAACCAGGGGAGUUAUAGAGGUUGCAGAGGCAAGGGAGCUCGUUAGUUACGGCUUCUUUGAUGGAGCCACAGCAAGACUCUGGAGGGGUGGUUGUUGUGUUGAGGUAGUCGCCGCAUGGGAUUAGCUUCUGAGCACAAGAUGCUACGUUCUGCGCAUUUGUUGUGGUUGUGCUGGUGCUCAAAAGUAGGAAGGCCACCAUCAUCACCACCGUGGACAUUGUUGUUGAGGAAGCCAUUUUCUUGGGAGCGAAGGAGAGAGGGUGGGCGAGAAG